GUUUAAUUAUUAACAAUGUGAAUUCCACUUGAUAAUACAUCACAAAAAUCUGUCAUUAUGCAUGUCAACUACACAUAGUUUCUGAUGAGCCAAUCAUGCCUUCCUACUCAAGAAACAGCUAGGUCUUUCUUUCAUAAGUUUCCCUGUUACCAUAACAGAAAAAUAAUAAUCUUGUGUCACAUACUAAAUCAAUCCACUCAUUCAUUUCUGUCCUUUUUCCUGAAUCCCUGUCUCUAACCUACAUACUCCUGUUCAAUGACAACUAUUUUCAUGCAUGGAAAUGAAGUUCACCCAACUAUUCAAAUGAAGAACUAUUCAAAAGUACAAAGAAAGCACAGAUGUUUGGCUAAACUUCCUUUAGCUUGUGCAAUGAGGUUUCUUUUUUUUUUUUCAAAAAAAAGGAAGGAAAUAUAAAACAGCAAGCUUUUAUAAAAGCAACAGCACCAAACCCUACUGAGAGCUAAAAGUCAGAACUAAGUUUAAGUUAUUUUAACCAAACACAGAACAUGUUUGCAAUUGGAUACAGGAAAACAAAAUCACAAGCAAGAAUUACAGCUUUCAGAAAGAAAUAUUCCUUAAUAUGAUGUGUUGGGGAAAACAGAAAUGUGUUUAAUGUUAUUAAUAAGCAACCUGGUGCUAUCCAUGUAUAUAUGCUCACGUAUAUAUAGGCACAAGAAUGGGUGUGAGCCUUUGAUCAAAAUAUUCAGUUGUUUUUUGUUUGUUUGUUUGCUGGAAAAACUUCUUUCCAAUCCGCCAUCUCCUAGCUGUGCUUUAACUACAACUCCCAUCCUCUGCAGAGAGACACUGGGUUUAAUAGGAUAGGUGGGAAUGAUACAGCAAUAAUCCUUUGGAGACCAGAAGGAUUUGCUUUCAGGAACAAUUGUGGCUUACUUGCAGCUGAAAUUAUUCUUCCCCAAGAUUACCACAGGUGGCAGAAAGUAGCAAACGCAGAGCCACCAUCAACGGUUAUCCGCUGAUAACGGAAACAAAAACUGUGAGGCCUGUGGGAGGAAUGAAAAACAUACGGGGCAGGGGAGGGAGGGGGGCUCCAGGCAUAUUUUAGGUUGUGGCCUCGGUAACUUUUCAGAAGGAUCACCCACUAUAAAGGAAAAGCAGCUGAGGACUGGACGUGCCAAGCCAAAUUUAGAAACCGAGUAGGCUAAACAGGGGAAGGGAAAAAAAAAACACGUCUCCGUGGGGAUGUAUUUUACAGACUGAUUUGGGAGCAUGGCCAUGUCAGCUCUCCUGAGAAGCAAAAGAACCCGCGACGAAAGGAAGGGGGGGGAACCGAACUGUGGUCAUGAGGAGCCGAGUUGUUUAGCUUGGGAAAACAAAAUGGGAUGCUCGGAUAGGGCGGGUUUGCCUUCUUCCCCCCCCCCCCCACCAACCACCACUCGGGCCUUGUAACUCUUUGGACGCCGCAGAAAACUAAACAGCCUCGGCUGCCUUACUAAGAGAGUCUUGCGGGGGAGGGGGACGGGACGGCGCGGGGAUCCUUCCUUCACCCGCUGCGCCCGAGCUCGGGAUAGGGAUAUGGCGGUGGCCGAAAAGCCCGAGGCAACGAUUCAGCAGCCCGAGAUGGAUCCGAUCGGAGAAGCGGAAAGUCCCUCAAAUGCAGAGGAAGGAAAUGGCACUAUUCAAUAUGUGCAUAGCUGUCUACAGUCCAAUUUACAAGUGAUUACGGCAGACUCAGUAGGCCGUCCCUGUAAAAUCAGCUACUGAGCAUCACAGCAGGAAAAUGGAUGAAAUGAAAUUGACCCACUUUCUAACAAAAUAUUGGGGUACAGAUGCUUUUUCUUAAAGGAAAUUUAUGGGGCCCUACAUAGCCUCUUGAUGCAGAUGAAGGAGGAGAAUGCAAAAGUUGGCUUGAAACUCAACAUUAAGAAAACUAAGAUCAUGGCAUCCAACCCUCUCAAUUCCUGGAAAAUAGAUGGGGAAGAAAUGGAGAUAGUGACAGAUUUUAUUUUCCUGGGCUCCAAGAUCACCGCAGAUGGAGACUGCAGCCAAGAAAUUAAAAGAUGCUUGCUCCUGGGGUGGAAAGCUAUGGCAAAUGUAGACAGCAUACUAAAAAGCAGAGACAUCACCCUGCCAACAAAAGUGCGUAUAGUCAAGGCGAUGGUUUUCCCAGUUGCAAUGUACGGCUGUGAAGGUUGGACCAUAAGAAAGGCUGAGCGCCAAAGAAUUGAGGCCUUUGAACUCUGGUGCUGGAGAAGACUCCUGCGAGGCCCUUGGAUUGUAAGGUGAACAAACAAGUCAGUCCUAGAGGAGAUCAACCCUGGCUGCUCUUUAGAAGGCCAGAUCCUGAAGAUGAAACUGAAAUACUUUGGCCACCUAAUGAGAAAGAAGGACUCACUGGACAAGAGCCUAAUGCUGGGAAAGAUCGAGGGCAAAAGAAGAACGGGACGACAGAGAAUGAGGUGGCUGGAUGGAGUCACUGAAGCAGUAGGCAUGAGCUUAAAUGGACUCCAGAGGAUGGUAGAGGACAGGAAGGCCUGGAGGAAUAUUGUCCAUGGGGUCGCAAUGGGUGGGACACAACUUCGCAACUAACAACAACAGCAACAACAACAUAGCUUCUUACAAGUAAUUUUAGAGAAGAAAGACUGCUCAGAUGAUGUCUUCUUUACACUACUUUGCUGUAUUUUUAUUUAUUUAUUUACAUUUAUAUCCCGCCCUUCUCCGAAGACUCAGGGUGGCUUACAGUGUGUAAGGCAAUAGUCUCAUUCUAUUUGUAUAUAUUUACAAAGUCAAUUUAUUGCCCCCCCAACAAUCUGGGUCCUCAUUUUACCUACCUUAUAAAGGAUGGAAGGCUGAGUCAACCUUGGGCCUGGUGGGACUAGAACCUGCAGUAAUUGCAGGCAGCUGUGUUUUAAUAACAGGCUAUCUUACAGCCUGAGCCACUCAAGGACCCCUAUAGUAUUGACUAUUUAAUUUUAUUCAGUUACUCUAAAUAAAAUUAAAGCCAAAUGGAAGUUCUUGGUGCAUUUUUAGUGCAUGAGCUCAGAUUCUGAUUAUAGAAAAUUUGGACCCUUCAUUGCAUUUGAAGAAACUGUGCAUAAGAAUAACAGAAAAAUCAUUGUGACUGUAGAUUUUUUUCCCCUCCUCCUCCUCCAUUUCUCCUUGCUUGUUUGAUGUUUUACGUAUUCUCUUUUAACCAUUGAAAUACCAUUUUAUAAAUCCGAGGUGUAUUGCUUAGGACAAGUAUAGCUGUUGCCUCCAUCUGUAACCUUUUGCAUGAGCCAAGUGGGUCAUGAAAGACUGCUUGAAACUUGAUACAUGGAAGUGUGUUCAUAAUACUUGCAAGCUAAGGACAGGAGAUGGGGAUAUACAC